rnacentral:sRNA from 1 species
GUCGUGAGAUGUUGGGUUAAGUCCCGCAACGAGCGCAACCCUCGUCCCUAGUUACCAGCGGGUUAUGCCGGGCACUCUAGGGAGACUGCCGGUGUCAAACCGGAGGAAGGUGGGGAUGACGUCAAGUCAUCAUGGCCCUUACGUCCAGGGCGACACACGUGCUACAAUGGCCGGUACAGAGCGUCGCCAACCCGCGAGGGUGCGCUAAUCGCCAAAAGCCGGUCUAAGUUCGGAUUGCAGUCUGCAACUCGACUGCAUGAAGCCGGAAUCGCUAGUAAUCGUGGAUCAGCCAUGCCACGGUGAAUACGUUCCCGGGCCUUGUACACACCGCCCGUCACGCCAUGGAAGCUGGGGGGACCUGAAGCCGGUGGGCUAACUCGCAAGAGAGGCAGCCGUCAAAGGUCAAUUCAGUGACUGGGGCGAAGUCGUAACAAGGUAGCCGUAGGGGAACCUGCGGCUGGAUCACCUCCUUUCUGGAGCGACGAGUACGCUCGGUGCACCCCCAACACGGGAACCCGAGACGAAAGUCCUCAGAAGUCGCCCGCACUCUAUCGCUUUCUAGCUUGCAUCACUUUUUCUUGGCGGGCCCCGUGGGGUCCGCCCUGCUUUUGACAAUCGACGAAUGGAUGGUUUGCCUGUUGGCUGACGCCUGCUCGCUUGCGAGCGUGCGGCAGUGAGCAGGCAGGGUGUGAGGAAUCAACACCGAUCGUCCUGAUCCGAUCGCAGGAUCGGGAACGACAUGAGAUUUGAGAUCAAACGCAAUAAGGCACACGGUGGAUGCCUUGGCAUCGAGAGGCGAUGAAGGGCGUGAUAAGCUGCGAUAAGCCUGGGGGAGCUGCACAUGAGCCGUGAUCCCAGGAUGC